rnacentral:rRNA from 1 species
GAUGAACGCUGGCGGCGUGCCUAAUACAUGCAAGUCGAGCGAACAGAUGAGGAGCUUGCUCCUCUGACGUUAGCGGCGGACGGGUGAGUAACACGUGGAUAACCUACCUAUAAGACUGGGAUAACUUCGGGAAACCGGAGCUAAUACCGGAUAAUAUAUUGAACCGCAUGGUUCAAUAGUGGAAGACGGUUUUGCUGUCACUUAUAGAUGGAUCCGCGCCGCAUUAGCUAGUUGGUAAGGUAACGGCUUACCAAGGCAACGAUGCGUAGCCGACCUGAGAGGGUGAUCGGCCACACUGGAACUGAGACACGGUCCAGACGCCUACGGGAGGCAGCAGUAGGGAAUCUUCCGCAAUGGGCGAAAGCCUGACGGAGCAACGCCGCGUGAGUGAUGAAGGUCUUCGGAUCGUAAAACUCUGUUAUGAGGGAAGAACAAAUGUGUAAGUAACUAUGCACGUCUUGACGGUACCUAAUCAGAAAGCCACGGCUAACUACGUG